rnacentral:siRNA from 1 species
GCUCCAGGCGUCCUUGGCUCGGA